AUUGUAACAUUUUCUCUGAGUGAAUUAAUCAGCAAUGGCCAUUCUAUUUAUUUUAUAAAAAGAGUCUUUAUCAAUAAAUGGCUUACUCAAUUCUUGUGCGUGAGGUUUUAUUAAAUAUUUGGAACUAAAAGAUUUUAAGAAGAGCAACUACCGUAUGAAAGUGAAAGGUCAGGAGUUUUGCUUUUCUGCUCUGACUGGGCUAAUGAAAACAGGCCUACACCAUAUACAGUGUGCACUGACUGGGCUAAUGAAGACGGGCCUGCACCAUACAGUGUGCACCAACUCGGCUAAUGAAGACGGGCCUGCACCAUACAGUGUGCACCGACUGGGCUAAUGAAGACGGGCCUACACCAUACAGUGUGCACCGACUGGGCUAAUAAAAAUGGGCGUACACCAUACAGUGUGCACCGACUGGGCUAAUAAAAAUGGGCGUACACCAUACAGUGUGCAUCGACUCGGCUAAUGAAGACGGGCCUACACCAUACAGUGUGCACCAACUGAAGUAAUAAAGACGGGCCUGCAUCAGUGUGCACCGACUGGGCUAAGGAAGACACUCCUACACCAUACAGUGUGUUGAGGGAAAUUUUCCCCUGACAGCGACUCUACAGCUUCUCUUUUUUCAAAUUUCAACUGUCAGGACCUCGUUUUUUUGUCUCAUCCGAACAACUAGACAGCGGGGGAAACCAAACUAACACUAUACAAAAGUAUUUAACAUAAAUAUAAAUUAAUACCUUUAAGAAUAAAAAAAUAAGUUCA